rnacentral:rRNA from 1 species
UACGUAUGGGGCGAGCGUUAUUCGGAUUCAUUGGGCGUAAAGGGUAUGCAGGGGGCUUGCUAAGUCGGGAGUGAAAUUUCCAAGCUUAACUUGGAACUUGCUUCCGAUACUGGCAGGCUAGAGUUUGGAAGAGGAGAAUGGAAUUCCAGGUGUAGGGGUGAAAUCUGUAGAUAUCUGGAAGAACACCAGUGGUGAAGACGAUUCUCUGGUCCAAAACUGACCCUCAGAUACGAAAGCCAGGGGAG